rnacentral:rRNA from 1 species
UUCCGGUUGAUCCCGCCGGACCCGACCGCUAUCGGGGUAGGGCUAAGCCAUGGGAGGCGAACGCCCAGCCGCUGCUGGGCGUGCCGAACGGCUGAGUAACACGUGGCUAACCUACCCUCGGGACGGGGAUAACCCCGGGAAACUGGGGCUAAUCCCCGAUAGGCGGGGAGGCCUGGAACGGUUCUCCGCCGAAAGGGGCUACGGGGGUUCGCCCGUAGCACCGCCCGAGGAUGGGGCUGCGCCCCAUCAGGGUAGUUGGCGGGGUAAUGGCCCGCCAAGCCGACGACGGGUAGGGGCCGUGAGAGCGGGAGCCCCCAGAUGGGCACUGAGACAAGGGCCCAGGCCCUACGGGGCGCACCAGGCGCGAAAACUCCGCAAUGCGGGCAACCGUGACGGGGCUACCCCGAGUGCCCCCCUUAGAGGGGGCUUUUCCCCGCUGUAGGUAGGCGGGGGAAUAAGCGGGGGGCAAGACUGGUGUCAGCCGCCGCGGUAAUACCAGCCCCGCGAGUGGUCGGGGUGCUUACUGGGCCUAAAGCGCCCGUAGCCGGCUCGACAAGUCCCCUCACAAAGCCCCGGGCUCAACCCGGGGACCUGAGGGGAUACUGUCGGGCUAGGGGGCGGGAGAGGCCGAGGGUACUCCCGGGGUAGGGGCGAAAUCCAUUAAUCCCGGGAGGACCACCUGUGGCGAAGGCGCUCGGCUGGAACGCGCCCGACGGUGAGGGGCGAAAGCCGGGGGAGCGAACCGGAUUAGAUACCCGGGUAGUCCCGGCUGUAAACGAUGCGGGCUAGGUGUUGGGCGGGCGUGAGGGCCCGCCCAGUGCCGCAGGGAAGCCGUUAAGCCCGCCGCCUGGGGAGUACGGCCGCAAGGCUGAAACUUAAAGAAAUUGGCGGGGGAGCACCACAAGGGGUGGAGCCUGCGGCUUAAUUGGAUUCAACGCCGGAA